rnacentral:lncRNA from 1 species
UUUGAAUCAUGGCUACUGGAAGCACUGAAGUCUUGUGAGGUGUUAAGAUGCAUUUUGAGAUGACUGGGAUGGCUAAGGUAAGGAUUACGGUGUCGCGAAGCUUCUGGAACAUUUGUCUGAUUUGCUUUUACUGGGCAAACAUGACACCUGUGUCUCAUUUUGAUCAGCACACUGGGAAGAAAUAUAGUCGGCUGUGCUAGAUUCUCUGCUGCUUAAGAUGAAGGGGGGUAUGAGCUACCUUACGCAAAGCUCUCUGGGAAAGGAGGCUUUAACCACUUUUUCCCUUCUUCAUAUCCAUAUUCAGGAGGUCCAGCCCUAAGACAUUGUUUUGGAGUCAUUUUUCUGAAUUCUCAUAACCAUGGAAGGAUGCUUGAUAGUGUGUGCCCCUUUGAACUGAUGAGGAAAUUGAGGUGUGAUUUGCCCUAACCCAGUACUUAGUAGAAUGCUCUAUACAUGGGGAGCUUGGGAGCCGUUUGUUGUAGACUCUGCUGACCACUUUGACAACCGCUGCCUGAAGACUAACAGGCUCCUACUGGGUUUCAGAUUCCCUGUGAUGAAAGGAGGAGGAGGAGAAGUAGGUGGCCUAGUGGAAAGAAUCCAGGCCUGGGAGUCAGAAGACCAAGCUUCUAAUCCCUGCUCCGCCACUUUUCUGCUGUGUGAAUGUGGGCAAGUCGCUUAACUUCUUUAUGCCUCGAUUUCCUCAUCUUUUAAAUGGAGAUUAAAUACUUGUUCUCGCUCCUCUUUUGACUCUGAGUCCCAUGGAGGACAGUGACUUAAUAUAGUGCUUGAAAUAGGAAAUGCUUACCAAAUACCAUAAUUAUUAAGCUUCUUGUGGCCAGGGUACCUGUCUACCAAAUCUGUUGUAUUGCACUCUCCCAAGUGCUUAGUUAGUGCUCCAUACCCAG